rnacentral:rRNA from 1 species
GAGUUUGAUCCUGGCUCAGGAUGAACGCUAGCGGCAGGCUUAAUACAUGCAAGUCGAGGGGCAGCGGGGGUAGCAAUACCUGCCGGCGACCGGCAAACGGGUGCGGAACACGUACACAACCUUCCUUUUAGUGUGGGAUAGCCCAGAGAAAUUUGGAUUAAUACCACAUAGUAUAUUGGGGUGGCAUCACUUUGAUAUUAAAGAUUUAUCGCUAAAAGAUGGGUGUGCGUAUGAUUAGGUAGUUGGUAGAGGUAACGGCUCACCAAGCCUUCGAUCAUUAACUGGUGUGAGAGCACGACCAGUCACACGGGCACUGAGACACGGGCCCGACUCCUACGGGAGGCAGCAGUAAGGAAUAUUGGUCAAUGGACGCAAGUCUGAACCAGCCAUGCCGCGUGAAGGAUGACGGCCCUCUGGGUUGUAAACUUCUUUUAUCUGGGACAAAAGGGCCAUUAUUGGUCAACUGACGGUACCAGAGGAUAAGCACCGGCUAACUCCGUGCCAGCAGCCGCCGCAGUAAC